rnacentral:rRNA from 1 species
GAUGAACGCUAGCGACAGGCUUAACACAUGCAAGUCGAGGGGCAGCGGGGGAGCAGCAAUGCUCCUGCCGGCGACCGGCGCACGGGUGAGUAACACGUAUGGAACCUGCCCGCAGCAGGGGGAUAAGCGGAAGAAAUUCCGUCUAAUACCGCGUAACACCGCGGAGGGGCAUCCCUCGGCGGUUAAAGAUUCAUCGGCUGCGGAUGGCCAUGCGGCGCAUUAGCUAGUCGGCGGGGUAACGGCCCACCGAGGCGACGAUGCGUAGGGGUUCUGAGAGGAAGGUCCCCCACACUGGUACUGAGACACGGUCCAA